rnacentral:lncRNA from 1 species
CGUGAAGCCAAAAAAUUUUCCGGACACCCUAAAUUUUCGCCAUUUCUUCAAAAUAUUUUUCUAAAUUCCAAAAAUUUCCCAAAAUUUUUAUAAAUAUAAACUAUAAAUUACCUGAAUCUCGUGAUUUUCCUACAAAAAGCAUCGUUGGAAAUGUGAUUUAUCACGUAUUAUUUUACAACUAAAAGGGCACUUCUACCCCCCCUGCCCCCCUAGCAAAAGGCAAGGGGGGCAGCCGCCUCCCCUGCCCCCCCAGUUCCGGCGUCCCUGGACAUUUG